rnacentral:tRNA from 1 species
GGGGAUGUAUCUCAGUGGCAGAGGUUUUGCCUUGCAUGCAUGAGGUCUUAGGUUUGAUCCCUAGCACCA